AUACAUGCAAGUCGAGCGGACAGAUGGGAGCUUGCUCCCUGAUGUUAGCGGCGGACGGGUGAGUAACACGUGGGUAACCUGCCUGUAAGACUGGGAUAACUCCGGGAAACCGGGGCUAAUACCGGAUGGUUGUUUGAACCGCAUGGUUCAGACAUAAAAGGUGGCUUUGGCUACCACUUACAGAUGGACCCGCGGCGCAUUAGCUAGUUGGUGAGGUAACGGCUCACCAAGGCGACGAUGCGUAGCCGACCUGAGAGGGUGAUCGGCCACACUGGGACUGAGACACGGCCCAGACUCCUACGGGAGGCAGCAGUAGGGAAUCUUCCGCAAUGGACGAAAGUCUGACGGAGCAACGCCGCGUGAGUGAUGAAGGUUUUCGGAUCGUAAAGCUCUGUUGUUAGGGAAGAACAAGUGCCGUUCAAAUAGGGCGGCACCUUGACGGUACCUAACCAGAAAGCCACGGCUAACUACGUGCCAGCAGCCGCGGUAAUACGUAGGUGGCAAGCGUUGUCCGGAAUUAUUGGGCGUAAAGGGCUCGCAGGCGGUUUCUUAAGUCUGAUGUGAAAGCCCCCGGCUCAACCGGGGAGGGUCAUUGGAAACUGGGGAACUUGAGUGCAGAAGAGGAGAGUGGAAUUCCACGUGUAGCGGUGAAAUGCGUAGAGAUGUGGAGGAACACCAGUGGCGAAGGCGACUCUCUGGUCUGUAACUGACGCUGAGGAGCGAAAGCGUGGGGAGCGAACAGGAUUAGAUACCCUGGUAGUCCACGCCGUAAACGAUGAGUGCUAAGUGUUAGGGGGUU
rnacentral:rRNA from 1 species